AACGUGCCCAGUCGUGGGGGAUAACGUAGAGAAAUUUACGCUAAUACCGCAUACGAUCUAAGGAUGAAAGCGGGGGAUUCGCAAGGACCUCGCGCGAUUGGAGCGGCUGAUAUCAGAUUAGGUUGUUGGUGAGGUAAAAGCUCACCAAGCCGACGAUCUGUAGCUGGUUUGAGAGAACGACCAGCCACACUGGGACUGAGACACGGCCCAGACUCCUACGGGAGGCAGCAGUGGGGAAUUUUGGACAAUGGGCGAAAGCCUGAUCCAGCAAUGCCGCGUGCAG
rnacentral:rRNA from 1 species